GUUAAGCGACUAAGCGUACACGGUGGAUGCCCUGGCAGUCAGAGGCGAUGAAGGGCGUGCUAAUCUGCGAUAAGCGCCGGUAAGGUGAUAUGAACCGUUAUAACCGGCGAUACCCGAAUGGGGAAACCCAGUGUGAUUCGUCACACUAUCAUUAACUGAAUCCAUAGGUUAAUGAGGCGAACCGGGGGAACUGAAACAUCUAAGUACCCCGAGGAAAAGAAAUCAACCGAGAUUCCCCCAGUAGCGGCGAGCGAACGGGGAGGAGCCCAGAGCCUGAAUCAGCAUGUGUGUUAGUGGAAGCGUCUGGAAAGGCGCGCGAUACAGGGUGACAGCCCCGUACACAAAAGCGCAUGUGCUGUGAGCUCGAUGAGUAGGGCGGGACACGUGGUAUCCUGUCUGAAUAUGGGGGGACCAUCCUCCAAGGCUAAAUACUCCUGACUGACCGAUAGUGAACCAGUACCGUGAGGGAAAGGCGAAAAGAACCCCGGCGAGGGGAGUGAAAAAGAACCUGAAACCGUGUACGUACAAGCAGUGGGAGCACCCUUUUGGGUGUGACUGCGUACCUUUUGUAUAAUGGGUCAGCGACUUAUAUUCUGUAGCAAGGUUAACCGAAUAGGGGAGCCGGAGGGAAACCGAGUCUUAAUUGGGCGUUAAGUUGCAGGGUAUAGACCCGAAACCCGGUGAUCUAGCCAUGGGCAGGUUGAAGGUUGGGUAACACUAACUGGAGGACCGAACCGACUAAUGUUGAAAAAUUAGCGGAUGACCUGUGGCU
rnacentral:rRNA from 1 species